CAACCCACUCCAGUGUUCUUGCUGGAGAAUCCCAGGGACGGGGAGCCUGGUGGGCUGCCGUCUGUGGGGUCGCACAGAGUCGGACACGACUGAAGCGACUUAGUAGCAGCAGCAGCAAUAGUCCAUUGAAUAGAGAAGGACAUGGGAACCCACUCCAGUAUUCUUGCCUGGAGAAUUCUUUGGACAGAGGAGCCUGGCAGGCUAUAGUCCAUGGAGUGGCAAAGACCUGGACACGACUGAAAAAUGUUCCCAGGCUGAUCCCUGAGGUGGCCCUGGUUAAAUUGCCAACUGUCUCCAGAAUGACUACUUCAGGGCAAGAACACUGAGUUCUGGAGGUUUCCAUUGAGAUCAAACCGGUCAAUCCCAAGGGAAAUCAACCCUGAAUACCAAUUGGAAGGACUGAUGCUCAAGCUGAAGCUCCAAUACUUUGGAGCGAAUACAAACAGCCACCUAAUACAAAC